rnacentral:rRNA from 1 species
AAACAUGGUUUUUAGUUUUUAUUGAAAAUCCGACCUGCUCAGUGCUUAUUUGUAAAUAGCCGCGGUAUUAUAACUGUGCAAAGGUAGCAUAAUCACUAGUCUUUUAAUUUGGGACUGGAAUGAAAGGUUUCACCAAAUGUUUCUGUCUUAUUUGAAUAUUUUGAAUUUUAUAAUUUAGUAAAAAAGCUAAAAUUAUAUUUGGGGACGAGAAGACCCUAUCAAGCUUUACAAUUAAUUUUUUGUUUUCAAAUCAGAAAUGAAAUUGUUUAACUGGGGCAGUUGGUAAAUUUGUUUUACUUUUAUAUUGUGUUAAUUUAACUUGUUAAAUCAAGAAGUUUUUAAUAAGGAAUAAGUUACUGUAGGGAUAACAGCAUAAUUUUUUUAGAGAGUUCUUAUCAUCAAAAAAUUUUGUGACCUCGAUGUUGGAUUAAAAGUUCUAGUUGGCGCAAUAGCUGAUUAAGGAAGUCUGUUCGACUUUUAAAAUUUUCCAUGAUCUGA